CCCCUUUCAGGAUCACACCUGGAGGGUUUCCAGUACUCUACCAGUCUUGGCUACAGGUGGGAGAGUCGAGCAGAGGCCUAUCCCUUCCAUUCCUAGCUUGGGCAGUGGUUAGCGAGUGGAAGGCAAUCCGCUACAAGU
rfam:Ornithorhynchus anatinus chromosome X1, whole genome shotgun sequence.